UACGUAGGGGUCCGAGCGUUUGUCCGGAAUUAUUGGGCGUAAAGGGCUCGUAGGCGGUCCGUCACGUCGGGAGUGAAAACUCAGGGCUCAACCCUGAGCGUGCUUCCGAUACGGGCGGACUAGAGGUAUGCAGGGGAGAACGGAAUUCCUGGUGUAGCGGUGAAAUGCGCAGAUAUCAGGAGGAACACCGGUGGCGAAGGCGGUCUCUGGGCAUGUCCUGACGCUGAGGAGCGAAAGUGUGGGGAGCGAACAGG
rnacentral:rRNA from 1 species